rfam:Oryctolagus cuniculus chromosome 2, whole genome shotgun sequence.
UUUCCCGCGUAGACUGGAACCCGCCUCUCCCGGGGACCUUGACCUCGCGCGGACCUCGUCGCCACGUUUAGCUCUCCCUGACCUGCUUUUGAACCCGCUAAUCCGGUCCCGAACUCUCGCCCCACGGCGAUCCCUCGCCCCAGCCCCGGCGCGCUAAUUCCCGCUGACCCCGCCGCCCGGCCCGGCUCUCGGCUCGCGCGUCUCGAGAGGGCGGCGGGGGCUUUCGGCCUCGGAGCGCGGCGUUCUGGGGUGCGCAGGCUGGGACCGGCCCACGUCGCCCCGACUCGCGCUCGUAUGCCCGCGGGCCCUCGCACAAAGUCCCUGGUUUCCAAUCUUCCGUCCUUCUCUUUCUUUAGUUUCCUCUCAAUUUGAUACUUUUUUUUUUUCUUUUUAAAACUAGAAACCUAGCGGCCCCACAAGAAUGUGAGUCCUUGGUAACACUCGAAACUGGCGACACGUUGGGGGCGCGGGCACUUCCACAACGGCCGGCCGGCCGGCGGCGAGAACACGGGCGGGCUGACCAGGCUUCCGGGAAACAGUGCCAGGCGCGGGCGUGGGCGGACGAGGCCGGGGACCA